AAUGAACGUUGGCGGCGUGGAUUAGGCAUGCAAGUCGCGCGACAAGGAACCUUCGGGUUCUGGAGGAGCGGCAAACGGGGUAGUAAGGCAUCGGAACGUACCCUCUUGUUGGGAAUAGCCGCGGGAAACUGCGAGUAAUGCCCAAUAAUCCCUACGGGGCAAAGGUCCGCCGCAGGAGGAGCGGCCGAUGUGAUACCAGCUAGUUGGUGAGGUAAUGGCUCACCAAGGCUUAGACGUCUAGGGGGUGUGAGAGCAUGGCCCCCACCACUGGGACGUGAGAUACUGCCCACGACACCUACGGGUGGCUGCAGUCGAGAAUCUUCGGCAAUGGGCGGCAAGACCUCGA
rnacentral:rRNA from 1 species